rnacentral:rRNA from 1 species
AGACUCUGUGCGCGUGCAUAUCAAUAAGCGGAGGAAAAGAAACUAACAAGGAUUCCCCUAGUAACGGCGAGUGAAGCGGGAAGAGCUCAAAUUUGAAAUCUUAAAGGUUUCCCUUGACGAAUUGUAGUUUAUAGAAGUGUUUUCUGUAGUGGAGUUUCGGUAAAAGUUCUUUGGAAUAGGACAUCAUAGAGGGUGAGAAUCUCGUAUUUGACCGUUACUUUCCUAGCUGUGUGAUACACUUUCAAAGAGUCGGAUUGUUUGGGAAUGCAGUCCAAAAUGGGUGGUAAAUUUCAUCUAAAGCUAAAUAUUGGCGAGAGACCGAUAGCGAACAAGUACCGUGAGGGAAAGAUGAAAAGAACUUUGAAAAGAGAGUUAAACAGUACGUGAGAUUGUCAGAAGGGAAGCGUUUGACACCAGUGUUGUUUAGUUGAAAAUCAAUUCAAUAAUUUUUGAUUUUGAGUAGUAUUGACUUCACCAGCUUGCUGCUUUCUUUUCAGGAAUUAUUGAAUGCACUUUUCAGUUAACAAGUCAACAUCAAUUUCUUUUGUUGUAAAAGGGUAAGAGGAAGGUGGCUUGCGCUUCGGCUCAAGUGUUUAUAGCCUUUUAUCUCUGCAAUCGGAGAGAUUGAGGUCUGCAGCGUAGAUCCUUCGGGGUUAGAUACAUUGGUGCUAAGCUAUAGCCUUGUAUAGACAACUUGUUGACUAUGCUCAGUCAUGUAGCUUACUCGCUGAUGCUAUUUUACCUACGCUUAGGAUGUUGACAGCAGUAUAGACUGU